CAGCAGCCGCGGUAAUACGUAGGUGGCAAGCGUUGUCCGGAAUUAUUGGGCGUAAGGGGCUCGCAGGCGGUUUCUUAAGUCUGAUGUGAAAGCCCCCGGCUCAACCGGGGAGGGUCAUUGGAAACUGGGAAACUUGAGUGCAGAAGAGGAGAGUGGAAUUCCACGUGUAGCGGUGAAAUGCGUGGAGAUGCGGAGGAACACCAGUGGCGAAGGCGACUCUCUGGUCUGUAACUGACGCUGAGGAGCGAAAGCGUGGGGAGCGAGCAGGAUUAGAUACCCCUGUAGUCCCUGUCUCUUAUCC
rnacentral:rRNA from 1 species